AGGCCCACGUGAGGCGCCACCGUCAUGGAAGGACGAUCUCGAGGCUCGAUUUGCUCCAGUUCAGCGCUUGGAAGUACUUGGUCCAGUCCUGCCCCACCCACAAGCUGGCGACCCAGCUAAGCGCUGGCUGAUACAGUUUCAGCCCAUCUGCUUGCACGAGGAUGCCGAUGACUACAGCGUCGACAGGUCUUUGGAGGCGUGCUUGUUGUGGCUCUUUGGUUACAUCAUGUUCAACAACACUCAUGGGAACAGCGUCGACAAGAUCCUGCUUCCUUAUGCACGGGCGAUUGCGAACGCAGACGAGGACGACGUGCCCACUUGGAGUUGGGGUUCGGCAGUACUUGCCGCGACGUACCGUGGCCUCUACGACGGGUGUAUGAAGACCACAGAAGGAGCUAUCAUCACUGGUUGCCUGCUUCUGCUACAGCUCUGGUCGUACGAGAGGUUAGCCAUUGCGUGACCCGAGAUCGACCUUUCGCCGUAUGAUCAGGGCAUGUACGGUGCUCUUGACGACGACAGGCCGACCAUGGGGACAAUUUGGUUCAUCCAUGAGGUAUGUGUCCGAACAUGCCUUUUUUCACAAUAUAUGCAAGUCAGAUUAUGAAUAGUUAUACAUUAUUAUGGUCUUUUACAGCGGAGUUGGGCGCAUAAGCCGAGCUGAAGGGCUUAUCCAGAGUUCGUUAGAGAUCUGGAUCGGUUGACCCCCAACGACGUCGUUUGGGAGCCGUAUACUCCCCUUCUUGUGGCAAGCCGUGCGCCACAUGGCUUGUCUCCACGGUGCAAUGCUUCGGAGGAGAUGUGGUUCACGACAGCGGUGUUGGUUUACGACAUCGCUGUUGAACCACAUUGCCCGCACAGAGUGAUGAGACAGUUCGGCCUACGACAGCCAUUUCCGUUGCCAGGCACGUUCUACCGUUGUCAAGAAGUGGACAACCAUGCGACGACACUUGGGUCACUAAGGUGACCACGUGGGUCGAUGCCUGGGACAAGGCGGAGGAGGAUGUGGUCCAGUCCCUCGUAC